CCUCUUUAAGUGAACUUGGCAAGGCAUUAUAUAGGGAGUGCCGGCGCAAGUCGGCUAUGGCGAUAAACGUAGCCCGGAAUAGGCGUUGCGGACCCGGGGGCAGAGCCCGGCGCCUCCACCAAGCAUUCCCUUUUCGGAGGGUUUCGUGGGGGCGAGUUAGGAUCGACGACCGUAGUAAAGGGGCGUGCUUUCGCUCGGUAUGGUACCCGCCGUUAUCGGGCCAAACAUGACAAGUGCCAACGAUAACCGUGUGGCCUUCGCUGCCGCUGCCUAAUAAGCAGUAGCAAGCGCGGCUGGUGAGAGCCGGGCAACAGAAUCUUGCCAGAAAGUCCAGGAAGCUUCGGCCUCCUGGCGCGGUUCGGGGAGCACCGGGCAACAGAAGCUCCCCACU
rnacentral:tmRNA from 1 species